rnacentral:rRNA from 1 species
ACGGAGGGGGCGAGUGUUGUUCGGAAUUACUGGGCGUAAAGGGCGCGUAGGCGGCGACUGCAAGUCAGUUGUGAAAUCUCCGGGCUUAACUCGGAAAGGUCAACUGAUACUGCAGGGCUAGAGUGCGGAAGGGGCAACUGGAAUUCUCGGUGUAGCGGUAAAAUGCGUAGAUAUCGAGAGGAACACCUGCGGCGAAGGCGGGUUGCUGGGCUGACACUGACGCUGAUGCGCGAAAGCUAGGGGAGCGAACGGGA